rnacentral:lncRNA from 1 species
GUGCGAAAUACAGGGAGGGCAAGUUUUUCGAGUUGGAGAUGACGGUCCGUGACUGCGACCUCGACGUGUACGGGGUCGUGAACAAUGCUGUCUAUGCUGGUUACAUCGAAACAGGUCUGCUACGUACUCUCUACCACCAUCCAAACAACUCCAGAAUUAUAUAUAUGUACCGAUCGAUAUACAUAGCGUACAUAUAUAAUUACCAUGUUGUGUUGUACUAUAUCUCUCGUUAUUCAUUUCCAAACCCCUGAUCCGUACUGGUACGGUAACCAUGCAAUUCCCAGCUCGUCAAGAGAUGGCUGCGAGCCUCGGCGUCUGCACGGGCUCGAUCGUACGCACAGGCCGUGCCAUGGCGCUCUCCGAGUUGAACGUCAAGUACUUCGCGCCACUAAAGGUCCACGCCUGCAGCAUGCAUGUGAAUAUAAUAGCAGAUCCUUUUUCUAUCGAAGAAUUUUACACGUUUUUUUUACGGUCAAAAUUUUUUUACACGCUUUGCGUCGCAUUCUAUGCUUAUAUAUUCUUCAGCGCGGUGCCAAGUUCGUCGUCAUGGUGAGGAUUGUCCAAAUCAAGGGUGUGCGGAUGCUCGUGGAGCACUUGAUCGCGACACUGCCGGACCGCGAGGUAUCUCUCGAUCGUCUCCCCGUCUUCCUAUGGCUAUGAUCGAAUAUGAUUAUGGCCUUGUUUAGUUAUGAAAAGUUUUUGAAUUUUGAUAUUAUAGUAUUGUUAUUUUUAUUUGACAACUAUUGUCUAACUAGAAUAACUAAGCUCAAAAGAUUCGUCUCGUAAAUUAUAGAUAAACUGUGCAAUUAGUUUAUAUUUUCGUCUAUAUUUAGUGCUCUAUACAUGCAUGUGCCAUAAGUUUUGAUGUGACAAAGAAUUUUGAUUUUUUUUUUUAUUUUGGAGUGAACUAAACAAGGCCUACAUGCAUAUGGCAGCUCGUGCUAGAAGCGAUGGCUACUGUCGUCUGCCUCAACCAAGACUACCGUCCAACUCGCAUGUUCCCAGAGAUAGCGAACCUGCAGCACUUCUUCUCUCAUCCUAGUAAUUAGCUAGGAUCAAUCAUAGCAAGCUGCUUUAUCUGCUGAUAGAGGAUUUAAUUUGUUUGGUUUUACUAUGCGCUGUGGAAAAACUAUCGUGAGCUAUGUAUCAUAGAAAAGUUGUAUGUUGUUUGCUUCAAGCCAAUAUAAAAGCUAUCGUAUCUUCCUUUAAACUCUUUAUUUCCAUCUAUUUCGAAACAGCUCUACUAGUGGCCCAGACAUUUGGAUCUAGGGGUCAUCCGGAUGCACCUAGGAUCCAUCCACCUCCCACACGAAACGCUUUCAUACAAAACGCCCCUCUCCUUCCGCACGGAACGCCCCUGUAUAGAACGCUCAUCCCUCGCAUGGAACACUCCCCACACAAAACGUCCCCCUUCCCCGCACGGAACACCCCCGCAUGAAGCAGAGCAGAGCGGGAUGGGAGGAGAGGGAGCACGGAACAGAGCAGAGGACAGUGGAUUCGGAGGGAGGCGCGGAGCACAACAGAGCAAGAUGGAGAGUCGAGCCGCAUCAGCGAAUAAGGCAAGCGUGCGUCUAUCCCGCCAUCCCACCCCGCUGCCCGUCACACUACCAUUUUGUUGCGCCGCUCUAUCCCUUGCCACGUCCCGCUAGGUGCGUCGUAUCUUCACCAUGGAACAAAAUCUACUACAACAUCGUAAGAAAACGACUGCAACAACAGAACAAAAACUACUGCAACAUGAGAUGCAAGAAUACAAAAAAUAAAAAACUAAGGCAACAAAGGAACAUUACUUGUUGUAACACCAUAACAAAUACUAUUGCAACAAAAACAUAAUAAAAAACAAAUGCAAAAAGAGAACAACACCAAAAAAAAGACUAAUGCAACAAAGAAAAUUUACUUGUUGCAACAGAGAAAAAAUGCUACUACAGCAACAAAAAGAGAAAGACACAUGCGAGAUGCAACAUCAGGAAAAAAAAGUAAUGAAACAAUUGAAAAAUUACUUGUUGCAAUAGCAAAACAACACUAUUGCAAUAACAGAAACAAAAAAUCAAUGAGAGAUACAACAUAAAAAAAGACUAAUGCAACAAAAAAAAUAUUGCUUAUUGAAACAGCAAAACAAGCCUACUGCAACAGCGUUCACUGGAACCCUAGCCACCGCGGCGUCGCUCAGAUCCUGAUCCAAAAGGAGCAGGAGGAUGAGAAAAGAAAGAGAAGGAGGAGAGCUCAGAUCUAGAAGAGGAGACGGAGAAGAAGGAGAAGGAUAGUUCAGAUCCAGACCUACCUUGCCGUAAACCACCACCGUCACCCUCCUCUUCGGUUGCACUGAGGUUGCGGGAGCGAGGGAGGAAGGCAGGUAGGGAGGGAGGGGUGGCUCGUCAGAAGCCAACGCCGCCACUCUCCUGCCUCUCUAGUAGCAUGGAGGUCACGGAGGGAGGGAGGAAGGGAGUGCGAGGCGAGGUAGCUGCGAGCUGGAUGCAAGCAUGGCGCAGCCGUCCCAGAGAGCAGCAGUAGCGAGCGCAGUGGCAAGAGCAGCGGUGAGCGCAACAACAGUUGCAGUAGUGGGGAGAAACAGAGAGGAGGAGCAGACUAGCAGAAUAGAGAGUGGGCGUGGGAGUUCACGGGGAUAAGAUGGAGCGCGUCGUUUCCCUUUCCGACUUGGUCAAGUGAAGGUCCGUUUGAUAGACAGACGUCCUACAGGGCACAACUUUGACGAAUAACUUAGCGGUGCUAAGUUAUAUAGUAUUAAUUUUAUUUUUAGCGCACAAUUUAUAUUUUUAAAAAAGCUACGAGAAUAAUAUUCUCUUUAGGUUACAUAAGUUAAUAGAAAAUGUGGGAGCGUGUCGUUUCCCAGUCAUGGCGAGUCGCUUGUGUUGGGAAAAGGCAGUCCACACCUCCUAACAGUACGAUGGGCGAGAGGCCUGCUCACACGCGGUGGUGUGGUUCCAUUGACACUAAUUCAAAAGGUCCAGUGCUUUAUAUGGACUUGACUACUUGACAGGUAAACCAAUCCUUAAUUUUUAGUUUCAAGUUUAUGGUGUGGGACCCAUGUAUGUAUCUAGUCACACCAACUGCACAGCGAGCAAUUGUUAACCUCUUAGUGGUGACCCCUCUCAAGGUCUAGGUAAUGAAAUGUGAGAUGAGUUGGAACAAACAAAGUCUACAUAAAUUUUAGUUAAUUUAGCUAAAAUUUUAAGGCAUGGACGCGAGGUUUAAUUUUUUGUUUUAGGCUCUGACUUUGAUGUGGAGCUAAAUUUCAGUUAAUUUAGCUAAAUUUUUCAACCAAUGUGUUGCUUCGGGAAUGCAUGCCGUUCUCAAUGGUCUCGUAGCGGAAUUCUAAUACAAUUCAAGCACUUAUACUUUGGGCCAUUCCUCGAUCAUUCGAGGUGCUUUAUGGAUUCCCUCCUUGUCAUCAUCCCUACUUCAGUGUUCUCAGUACCUGAGCUACAAGAAUGGGUGGAGGAACGCGCCUUGAAGCACGCCCUUGUCGUGCUCAGCAGCUCAUGAAGCGUCAUGCUGAUAAGGGCCAGAUUGAUCACUCCUUCACUGUAGGUGACAUGUUCUUCUUGAGGGCUUUGCUAUGGUACUCUCAAAUAACUGUGAUUCGUUCAUUGAUUUCGAUUGGAUAGUUACGAUGAACUAUUACCUCCUAGGAGGAUAGAUGAAAUGUAUAUUUAAUAAUCUUUUAUUUUAUAAAAUAGGUUAAAUAAGGAAAGUUUUAGAUAUAAAAAUUCUUUUUCUAGAUUUGAUUGAUGCAUGCAUGAUCUCUAAAAGUGAUAUGGUAAAUCUUUUUAUUUUAAGACUUUAGACACAUUAAAUCUUUUAUUUUAUACGUGAUCUCUAAUUAAUUGAUGCAUGCAUGGGUAAAUCUUUUAUUUUAUAUGUGAUAUGAUUUUUUACCGUGUGCAAUAUGAUUAAAAUUUAUAGCAUGACAUGGGUAACUAAUGUAUGCAUGGGUAACUCGUGCAUGACAUGAUUUUAUACGUGCAAAUUUUAUGGUGUGACACAUUGAAGUUUUAUGUGAUUUGCAUGUGCGUGCUUGUGUUAGUGUGUGCUUGUGUAUGCAUUUUAAAUGAAUGGAUACGUGAUAUGCAUGCAUAGUGUUAGGUGAGUGGGUAACGUGUUAAUGCAUGUAAUGUAAUGUAAUUUCAUUUGUAAUUUUAUAAUUUGAAAAAAAAAAUACUGUAACUUUAUGAUAUGAUAAAAGUUUCUAUGUUAAUUAAUUUAGUGAUAAUUUGUUUUAUUUUAUUAGAAUAAAUAAUUAUGUAUAAUCAAAUUUAAAACACAUCUCCACGAUAUUUUAUUAUAGGAAUCGGCAUGCGGGAUUUCCCCUCCCAUCAUUAGUGGGUUUGUGGGGGGUUUUAUUUUUGUUUUCCUGAAUUUAUUAAUUUAUUUCGUAAUUCAUUAAAUUGUAAAAAUCAAUAGUUCAGAUUAAUUUAAGAUAUUACUUUCUCAUAGGCAAAAAAUGUACCUUAGCAUUGCUCUCUUCUGGAAGCUUCAGGAAUAAUAUGUGGAAUCCUCAGUGGUUCGUGGCUCGGACAACAAGCUCUGUUUAAAAUUCUUUGGUCCUUACAAGAUUCUCUAUAUAUAGACGAAGCUGGUAGCUGGAUGCCUGGGGGCCAUGCUGACUCUGAAUACCAGGGGAGUGUCAAUGUUGCUGCAUCCACUGAUAAUGUAUAUACGAGUCUUGUAACUGACGGUUGGCUAUAUCGCAGAUGGAAGAGAGUGCGCAUGCAUACGCAUGUUAGAUUGUGCUUUUGCUACCAGCUGGCAAUGGAAAUAUAGAUUCCGUGCUUGCCAUGGAUGCAAAGGGCACGUACAGCGGCCUGCCUCUACAAAAAAAAAAAGGGGGAAUAACGAAGAACAAGAAAAUUAAUUAAUAACACUGUCGACACGCCUCGACCUUGUGCGGAAUCUAUGCAGUUCCUGCUCCUACGAUCUGCUCAUCUCGUACACGACAUUUUCGUGUGCCACAGUGGCGCCGAGGCGUUGCAGCGGCAGGUUUCAUGUGCGGCGAGCGAGAGCGAGACGAUUCUAUUUCUAUAUAAAUAAGCCAGAGACGAUGACAAGUCGACAAGCCCAAGCCUCCCCCAGGAUAUAGGAGAGGCACCAUACCGCCGUCCGCGAGGAGAUGGAAUUCUGCGCGCAGCAGCAGCUUUUCAAUCCGCCGCCGCCGCCGCCUUCGACCACCAAACGAUGCCCAAGCCCGGCGGCACCGUCGUCGACGGCGAGAGCAUCUUGGCCGCGCCCCCGGCACCCAGCUGUUGGUCUCCUCUGCUGGUCGUCACGUCGUCCUAGCCUGGCGGCACUGCAGGUCACCACCGCCUCCACGACCACGAACGCCGCUCGUUCCUCAGACUCUGAGGGCAUCUGCUUCAAGAACAUCAUCCUGGACACGAAAUUGCCAAGGUGUGCAUGCAUGCGCGCUCUCGCCCCUGCUCCGGCCGGGUGCAGUCUGCAUUGCCCAUUAAUUGCAGGCAGCAGGGUUUUCACUUCUUUAACCAUUUUUUUAAAAAAAAAUCCUAUCUGAUAUUAGGCCUGGUUUAGUUUUGAAAAUUUUUGAAAAAUCGACACUGUAGCACUUUCGUUUGUAUUUGAAAAAUAUUGUCCAAUUAUGAACUAACUAGGCUUAAAAGAUUCGUCUCGUCAAUUCCGACCAAACUGUGCAAUUAGUUUUUAUUUUCAUCUAUAUUUAAUACUCCAUGCAUGCGUCUAAAGAUUCGAUGUGACAGGAAAUGUGAAAAAUUUUGCAAAAUUUUCUGGAAACUAAACAAAGCCUUACUACUUUGAUUGAUGAUCGAUCGAUCUUUGGUGCGAAAUACAGGGAGGGCAAGUUUUUCGAGUUGGAGAUGACGGUCCGUGACUGCGACCUCGACGUGUACGGGGUCGUGAACAAUGCUGUCUAUGCUGGUUACAUCGAAACAGGUCUGCUACGUACUCUACCACACCAUCCAAACAACUCCAGAAUUAUAUGUACCGAACUAGCGAUAUACAUGCAUAGCGUACAUAAUUACCAGGUUGUGCUGUACUAUAUAUCUCCGUUAUUCAUUUCCAAACCCCUGAGCCGUACUGGUACGGUAACCAUGC